rnacentral:rRNA from 1 species
AGUCACUGACAUUAGAUACCCCGGUAGUCCUAGCCGUAAACGAUACUCGCUAGGUGUCGGCCACGGUGCGACCGUUGUCGGUGCCGUAGGGAAGCCGUGAAGCGAGCCACCUGGGAAGUACGGCCGCAAGGCUGAAACUUAAAGGAAUUGGCGGGGGAGCACAACAACGGGUGGAGCUUGCGGUUUAAUUGGAUUCAACGCCGGAAAUCGUUACCGGGGCCGACAGCAACAUGAAGGCCAAGCUGAAGACUUUGCCGGAUUAGCUG